CGGACGGUGUGCUCCCAGGUGGCGUCGGUGCUCAGCAGCGACGCCUCGCCGAAGAACUCGCCGUCGGCCAGCCGGUCCACCGCCGCCUCGUCGCCGAACUCGCCCUCGGUGUACCGGGUGACCUUGCCGUGGGCGAUCAGGUAGAGCCCGUCGGCGGCCGCACCGCCGGUCACGACGGUCUCGCCCGACCCCACCUGCCGCUGCUGGAACCGGCCCGCGAGCUCGGUGAGCACCGCGUCGUCGGCGACCCCGCGCAGCAGCCCGACCUCGCGCAGCUCCGGCGGCACCACCGCCACGUCGGCGCCGGUGUUGGUGAACGACACCCGCCCGUCGCCCAGGGUGUAGGUCAGCCGCCGGUUCACCCGGUAGACCGCGCCCGGGGUCUGCACCCACGGCAGCAUGCGCAGCAGCCACCGCGGCGAGAUCUCCUGCAUCUGCGGGACGGACUUGGUGGUCGUGGCGAGCUUGCGCGCGGCUGAG
rnacentral:antisense_RNA from 1 species